AUAAUAAAUGAAUCUAUGUUGAACAUUUGCACAUAUUUUGCUCCUUUCAGUACACAGUUUGUAUAGAACGUUGGCCUGGAUGCGCUGGAAGGUUGCUGCGCAGUAUUUGCCGGACGAUGGACUAAGUCGGAAGCGAGCUGCUUGCUGUUAAAUGCUUGCUAACUGUUUGCUGACAGGAGUAGAAGAUUACCAAGAGCUCGUAAAUCCUCUCUUUUUCAUGGAGAAUCGGAGGCAGCUGGAACAGGUGAUUGACAUGUCAGGAAGAUGAUUCCUAUGUUACUGACAGACACCAUGUUGAAGGUGCUGGUAAUCCAGGUCACGAAACUGUUUUAAAGAUCAUUUCAAGAAGUAGAGGCCAUGAAUUAUGCCCUCACAUAUAUCCGUGUACAGACCACAUCAUCCGCUCCAAAUGUCUGCAAUACACAAAGUAUCAACUCGUCUCCCACAAGUUCACGAGUCCAGUAUGUCCUUGGUCCUGCUCCAUCCAGAAGAGUCUGCUUACAGUAAAUCUUAUUUUCUUUGUCCCAAACAGGGAAACUCUGUGAAUCAGAGAAGGAAUUCUCUUUCAGAGUAGGUGUAUAGCAAGUGAAUGGUUAGGCAUGGAUAGUGUGGAACAAAGGAAUACAGUAUCAGUUGUAUCCCUGCUUAUAUCACAUCUGUUUGCUUAUUUUCUUACAUAAAACCAUAUCAUCACAAUCAAUUCUUCAGCAUGUCAUCCUUAGAAUCCUUCUUCUUUAUAGGUUCAAUAAAUGCACAUAUUAAUACA